GCGUCGGUGGUAUAAUGGUCAGCAUAGCUGCCUUCCAAGNAGUUGAUCCGGGUUCGAUUCCCGGCCGACGCA
rnacentral:tRNA from 1 species